rnacentral:lncRNA from 1 species
AUUAUUCCUCUGGGAGAUGGAGAAGAAGAGACCACACCAAGCAUUGCCACAGUAAGAGAUUAGUGAAGAUUCUGCCCUAAACAAAACCAUUUCCUUUGUUGAACUUAUAUUGUACUUUCUUCAUCAGGCAUGAGGGGACACUAUGAGUGAAAGAAGAAAAACUUUGCAAGGCUCUGACAUUAAGAAGGAGGGUGAUGAAAAUUUUGAGUGGCUUGCACAUGUUGUAUAGGAACCAUGGCUUCACAGCGCUGGGCAGAUGCUUGAAGCAAAGGCGCAGAACAAAGGAUGAACAAGACGCAUAGGGUGAACAUUCAGCUGCUCGCUAGGACUGUAGCUGGAGUGUUUAGUAGAUGAGGGGAAUCGUUUGUGCAACGGUAAGCUGAUGUUGUAUUGAUUUUAUUUUAAUCCUCAAUGAAAGAAACUCAACAAGAA